AAUGAGAUGACUGAUAAAGGUGGUAGAUUGUAAAUCUAUUUAUGAAAUAAAAUUUCUCUUGUUA
rnacentral:tRNA from 1 species